AGUUUGAAUACAUAGAAGAGAAUUUGUCCAAUAAGAGUCCUGCGCUUCUCAAGUAUAAUCCGCUUCACAAGAAAAUCCCAGUGCUUGUACACAACGGAAAGCCAGUUGCAGAGUCACUUGUCAUCCUGGAGUACAUCGAUGAGACCUGGAAACACAACCCCAUCUUGCCUACAGACCCUUAUGAGAAGGCCAUGGCACGGUUCUGGGCUAAGUACAUGGAUGACAAGGUAAACCCAAUCCUAUAUUCCUUUUUAAAAAAAAAUCAUUUGGGUCCUGACUACUAUUCAUUAUGCAGCUCUUGCCGGCAGCAAUAAAGGUUGCGAUGAGUAAGGGAGAGGAGCAAAAGGGAGUGAUUGAAGAAAUCCAGAAGCAGCUUAAAACUCUAGAGAGUGAGCUGAAAGAGAAGAAAUUCUUUGGAGGGGAGAGUUUAGGAUUCGUGGACAUAGCUGCAAACACUAUAGUUUGGCUUGUUGUUGCCCAAGAAGCUCUGGGAAUGGAGAUCCUGACCGAAGAGAAGUUUCCUGUUUUGCAUGGAUGGUAUCAAAGGCUUGUUGACGAUGCUGUUUUCAAGGAAUGUAUGCCGCCAAGGGAGCAACAUCUUAGCUUUGUCAAAGUUCGGUUUGGAUCCUCGACCCCCUCCAAAUGAACAGUUGGUUUAUGUCUCUGUAUGACUUGAUAGGAGAGGAGCCUUGCUUCUCAUUUAAGUGGUUUAGUUAUGUAUUUUGACUUUUGAGGUUGUGUCAUGGACCUUAUCUUGUUUCUGGGGAUAAGAACUUAAAAAUAAAUUGGACUAAUAUUGCUCCAAAUGGCAUUAGAAAGAAGAAGACUCAAGCAUUGCUCCUAAAUCCUAAUUAAUAGCAUUUGAAUAUUCUAUGUUCAUCUAAAUAAAAAAUUAUUUUUUAUUCACAAAAAAUCACGAAAGAAAUUUAGGCCUUCUAAAUAAGUACUUGUUUUUCAAUAAAAAAAAUAUUUUAAUUAUUUUUUUUACUUAAAGAGUGUUUAUAUAUGUAUAUAUCAUAAAAUUAUAAAUUAAGUAUUAAAAAAUAAAAAUCUAAAUUGUAAAUGUACCUACAUUUAUAAUUACAAUAUAAAUUUGCAUAUAAUAAUAUUUUAUUUUCAAAGUAUUUAAUAAAACUAUAAAUAUUCUAAAAUUACUCAUAUUGUUUGAUAAAGAGUCAAAGAGAUUUAAAAAAAAACCAUACUAAAAUAAAUAAAAAAAGAUGUUGUAAUUUAUUUAUAAAAGAAUAAAAAAAAAUAUUUUUAAAAUAUUAUUUUAAUUGGAAAUAAAAAACACAAUAUUUUUCUGAUCAGGUAAAUAUGGGCAUUUGAUAAGAAAAAAAAAUGAAAAAGAAGAAAGAUUGACUUAUGUGAUUAUUUUAAAUUUUGAGGGAAAAAAAUUGGCUUAAGGGGUAAUUUUGAAAUUAUAGGGGUUAUUAUUAUGUAGUUGUUAUGAAAAGUCAAUCCGGGUGAUUAAAAAUUUCUUCUUUUAUUUUAAAUAAUGUAUGCUUUGCAUGAUUUGUUUUUGUAUUUGUUUUUACUUUUUUGUUUUUGUUUUUUUCUCCGUUUCCCACCACCUCCCCACUUUUUCUCCAUCCCACCCCACCCACCCACGGGAUUUUGAAAAAAAAUAUAAUAAUUUUAAAAGAUAUUUAUAAAAAUUCCACACUUUUAAAACCAUUUUCAAAUUUAUAAUAUUUUUAAGAAAUACAAUUAAAUUUUAAAGUUGUCUUCUUUGUAGGGACCUCUCCCCUUGGGAAACACGUGGCACGCAGCUCAUGGUGACGCGUGGCACGUGUUAUCAGCCGAACCAUCAUCAUCAGGAUUCCCCUAAGGAUAUGCAUGGUGCAGUUAUCCUAUCCGAACCGCCUCAAGGAAAGGCAAACGACGUUUCAGCUUCUCCUAUCCAAGGAAGAGCAAACGACGCUGGCAGAGCGUAGACAUCCGGAUAGUCCUCACAACACAUCCGGAUAAUCAGCAUGAGUCAUCCGGAUAUAAAUCGUCUGGAUGGUCAAUUAAAGUAGCGUAGACAUCCGGAUAGUCCCCACAACACAUCCGGAUAAUCAGCAUGAGCCAUCCGGAUAUAAAUCGUCUGGAUGGUCAAUUAAAGUAAAGCGAGUCUUACACGCAAUCACAACAAGUAGCCAUGACCCACAUCUUGUCACCUGCAGAGUGAGAAGACAAGAUGAAGUGAUAGCAAGUCACUUCCCACGAUCAUUCUACAUGAUCACCUUCCCACAAUCUCUGACAGCCGCAUCACCUACCAUGGUUUCUGACAGUCGUUCGUAGGGUGAUAAUGCUCCUACUAACACCUAUUGUCAUCAUCACAACAUAAAAUAUCUCCUCACCAUUAAUGAGAGGAACAGUACCCCUGAAGCUGUAUAUAUAUGCCUUCGCACGAAGAAGAAAGGGAUCCCCUGGUAACCUCUUGGUACCUAGUAAAAGGCCAACUGAUUUAUAUAUCUCUCUCUCACCAUGGCUAACAAAACCAUCAGAGGGUGCGUCCGAACACCCUGUCCGGAUGCCUUUUGCAGGUACAACCACUGAAUCAAGAACCCCUUGUGUGUUGAGAAUCACGUGUCCAUCCAUAUAGUAGCAACGUGGACCACCGGAUACGCGAGGCGACAACAUUCUUGAUGUGAUAAUAAGUGUCAUAAAUUUAAAAAUAAUUUUAAAAGUAUUAUAUUUUAAUAAAGAAUGGUUAAAUUUGAGGUUUUUUUUUUCCUUUUUUUUCAAAUAGCUCAGCCAAACUACUUUAGCCCAAGAUUUGAAAAUUAGAAAAGCUUGUAAAACAUAAUUUUUGCUUAAGCAUAUAAAUUCAAGCGUAUUUUGAGUAGACAUCAAUGAAAUGAAUGCAGAAUCGAUAUCCAUUGGAAGAGGGUAUUAAAGCAAGUCCCUAUAAAUCUAAAUGUACAAGUUCUAAGGUGUAGUGUAGGAAAUGGUGGAUGAAUUGGAGAUUUGUGAAUUUUCCUUAAGUAACCUGAAGAACAAAUUAGAGAAGAUUUUUUUAUUAAGAUGUGAAAUGUUACAUCUGUUGAGGACUUGUGAUACAAUUUGAUCAGAUGGGUGGCCAAGGUUGUUAUGCAAUAGUUCAAAUGAUGUUCUUAUCGCUGCUAUUGUGAUAAGUUUGAAGAAAGUUGGUGUUGUGACUACUAUGCUCAGCUUGCAAGGAACGAUUGACUAUUGAGGAUGUGAGGAGUGAGUUUUUAAGCUAUCAAACACUUACGGUCCCCCUUUAAGUUGGCCUUUGGGUAGAACUAUUUUGGUGGUUAGGUCCUUGAAAAAACAAGAGGUGGGAUGCAAUUCAAAGUAUACACGGUUGUCAUUAGCAAAUUUAAAAACAUUAAGUAGAUUUUUGGUUGUUUUUGGAAUAUGAAGCAAUUGUUUUAGUGCAAGUUUUUUGUAUAGAUCAAACGGAAAAUGAGAAUGAUGUGGUACCAAUGUGAUGAAUUGGAAGACCCUUCCCGUUUUCCAUGAAGACUUAGAUGGUGUUUGUUUUUUGACUGAAUAGAAAAAGUCAAAUAUUUUGAUUUUUUCUAUUAAGCUAAAAGUAACAUGUUAACAUCAUCCAACAUAACUAAAAUGAAUUUGUUAUCAAUAAGUUUAAUUUAAUUAUAUUGGAUAAUGUCAACAGGUUAUUUUUAGCUGAAUAAAAAAAGCUAAAAUAUUUGGCUUUUUCUAUUCAGCCAAAAAACAAACACCACCUUAGUCUAGUGUAAAGAAUUGUGAAUAAUUCACAAUGUUGUUGAACUCAGGUGUUAGAUGAUAUGUUGCUCCAAAGUUUGGGUACCAAUAGGUGGAUUUUGCAGCAUAUGAAGGUGCUUGCUGUGAGAAUACAACUGAAAGUUUCUCAUGUUGAGAUAAUAGUCUCAAGGGUUGCUGAGGUAUGUGAGCAAUGUUUCCUUGCGGUGGAUGAUUCUACAGUUGAGAUAGCCCUACGAAUGAAUGAUCAAAUCUGUAAUAACACCACAUGACCACAUGUCCCAACCUUCCACAUAAUUGACAUUGGGGUUUGUUAUUUCCUUCCCAUGAGCUCUUGUCAUAUCUUCCACGUCCUCUUUGGGAUAAGUUUCCUAUGGCAUGUUGCUUUCCAUGACCAAAGAAUUCUUGAGGCCUUGUUGAAUUUUGAACUUCAUAGCGAUUCUUGUUCCAGUUCUCUUAUUAAAGUAUGAAAAUUCACUGGUUGUGGCUAAGUUAACUUGACCAUUGAAAUUUGAACCUUUUAUGUUUUUGUCAAUAUGACUUUCUUAAGCGAGAAGUAGGGCUUCAAUUUCUUCUACAGCAUAAGGAUCGAUUAUUAAACUUACCGAGAUGACAAAUUUUUCAUACUCUUACGGAAGUCCUUCAAAGAUUGCAUCAAUGUGGUAUUUAACUAUUAGUUUAUGGCUUACUAGGGCAAGAGGAUCAAUUGUGCUUCUAUUCUUGAGAAGGUACUCAUUUAGAGUUAGGUCUCCUUUCUUAGUGUUGUGCAGUUGAGUUUUGAGUUGAGUCACUUUGGCAUGUAUUUGAGUAGCAAAAUAAAGGUCUAGGAUUCUCCAUACUUGAGCCGAAGUUUCACAAUUCACCAAACGUGAGAGAAGUGUAGCAUAUAUGGAAGUAAGAAUCCAUGACAUGAUGAGUUGUUCUCGUUGUUCCUAGUCUUGAAAUGUUGGGUUUGUGUGGGGUUGAGCUUCAUUUUCUUAAGACAAAAAUCUUGAUGGUAAGUUUGACAAUUCGGUGAGGAAAUGUUGCAGUUUGUAACCUCUCAAAGUGAUUAGUAUUUGUUUUCUCUAAACUAAAAAGUUGUCGUUAUCCUAACUUGGAUGAAAUGGGAUGUGGAAAAGAAAUGAGGAUAAUUAUGAUGGCCCUUGAGGGAUCUCCUAUACCAUGUUAGAAGACAAAAGAAAACAAUCAAAGAAAAUAUCAGUAGUUUCUCAUUACUUGUUCAGUUGAGUUUAUAGUACAAAUGGUGACUUCCUUAAUUAACAACAGGUUGAUAACAAUUAUUGGAAUUUGUUAUAACAAGAAAAAAUUAAUUAACUAAUUGUGCUAACAGUUAUGCCAAUUCUGUAACGGUUGUGUCAAUGAUCUUGAAUGUAGUGCACUUGAGUUGUUUACCACGGAGUUGUAUCUCUAAUAUAAGACUAUCAAUUUAAAGUUGGUUCUACCCAAAUUUAUAACAAUGACAAAUUAAAAUGAAAAAAAAAAAGAAAAAAAAAACCAAUUCUUUUACAAGUUAUGAAAGACUUGUAAAUGAUGUUGAAAUGUUUGAGGAAUAAAUUCUUGGAUUUUAAACGCGGACGGGGUAAUGUGGAAAUAGAAGAUAAAAAAGAGCAAAGUUGGAUUUUAACUGGCCCAGAUGGAGCUAUUAAACUGUAAUACAUAUUGAAACAUCGAAAUGGAUAUGAACCGUGUGAACCGCCGGUCCAACAUCUUGAACCGGCGGAUCGGACGGUUGAUUCCCUCUUUUUUACUUUCUUACUUUUCCCACCGACCUUCCUUGUGGGUCCCACCUCACUGUCACCCAUCACCCAGCAUUUCCUCCUCUUGUUUGGGUUUUUUUCCAUUUUUUUCCUUUUGUUGCCACCCACCAACCCCUCUUUUCUCCCUCGUGUCACUCUCCCACCCACCAAUCCUCUUCCAGUCAGCACCGUGCCAAGUGUCCUGGCGUUCUGCAAUUCGCAUACAGUAAACACAUGAUCAAGUACCUAAACUAUAUAGCCAUAUGAUAAAAUUGUAAUGCUAACAAAAUUUAGAUAAAAAAUAAUAAAAUAUGAAUGAAUAAAUAAUACAAAUUUAUUAUUUUUAAUUAAAUAUUUUUUUAAAAUAAUAUAUAAAUGAUAUAUUUAUAAUAUAAUGCUCAUUACUCGAUCAUAAUUUAAUCACAUGGAUUCUAUUAAUAAACCAGUGGAUUUUCUACUAGUACCACAAUCGUUCAAUUUCCAAACGUGGUCUUUGAUUUUGCAGUGAAGCCCUUCUGAUUGCUCUGAUCCGCGCAUUUAUUGAAACAGAUUUUAUUUGACCAGCACAUCUAUCUUUACCCAAAAUUCCAUUCUCGGUUAAGGGGGUCUGCUCUCAAUCGAAAAGGGGGAGUCACCGAGGUCGUUGCGUCAAAAAGUUGGUCAUAGUCUUCAAAGGUUCAAUCGUCUAGAGGCAUAGGCCAUACCUCAAUGGAUACGCAUUGGCUGAACGCCUACAAGUUUCCAAGUUUGUCGAGGCCGUCACCAAAUACAUCAUUGGUUCCCUAUCGCCCGUCGGAUCACACCAAACUAAAAUCUCGACAAAUCCAAGGCCGGCAGUACCGCGCCUGGUUUAUCGAGAAAAUCUCUAUAAAUAAGAAGAGGGCAUAUCAAUGGCAGCCAUAUCUCUUCAAACAGCAACUAUGGCUGAAGAAGUAAAGCUUUUUGGCACAUGGGCAAGCCCCUUUAGCCGCAGAAUUGAAGUGGCCCUCAAGCUGAAAGGAGUUCAAUUUGAGUACAUAGAAGAGAACUUGUCCAAUAAGAGUCCUGCGCUUCUCAAGUAUAAUCCAGUUCACAAGAAAAUCCCUGUGCUUGUACACAAUGGAAAGCCGGUUGCAGAGUCACUUGUCAUCCUGGAGUACAUUGAUGAGACCUGGAAACAUAAUCCCAUCUUGCCUACAGACCCUUAUGAGAAGGCCAUGGCACGGUUCUGGGCUAAGUACAUGGAUGACAAGG
rnacentral:lncRNA from 1 species